rnacentral:rRNA from 1 species
GAUGAACGCUGGCGGCAUGCCUAAUACAUGCAAGUCGAGCGAACGGACGAGAAGCUUGCCUCUCUGAUGUUAGCGGCGGACGGGUGAGUAACACGUGGAUAACCUACCUAUAAGACUGGGAUAACUUCGUGAAACCGGAGCUAAUACCGGAUAAUAUUUUGAACCGCAUGGUUCAAAAGUGAAAGACGGUCUUGCUGCCACUUAUAGAUGGAUCCGCGCUGCAUUAGCUAGUUGGUAAGGUAACGGCUUACCAAGGCAACGAUGCAUAGCCGACCUGAGAGGGUGAUCGGCCACACUGGAACUGAGACACGGUCCAGACUCCUACGGGAGGCAGCAGUAGGGAAUCUUCCGCAAUGGGCGAAAGCCUGACGGAGCAACGCCGCGUGAGUGAUGAAGGUCUUCGGAUCGUAAAACUCUGUUAUUAGGGAAGAACAUAUGUGUAAGUAACUGUGCACAUCUUGACGGUACCUAAUCAGAAAGCCACGGCUAACUACGUG